GCUGUUGUAGUAUAGUGGUAAGUAUUCUUGCCUGUCACGCGGUGACCCGGGUUCGGAUCCCCAGCAAUGGCG